AGCGGCGACCCCAGAGGGGGCGCGCAGCAGUCCGUGAGUCCCCGGGCGCUUCCGCGCCCUCCUGGUUACCUCCAUCGGGGAGUUAGAUAGUGAACGCGGCCAGAGACAGGACAUGCAUUGUUGCAGAGAGCGCUAGAUGCUGAGAAACGAACUUUUUAAAAAGUAAUGGGCCAGAGCGUGGGGACACGGGAGCUACGCAGUCCCGGAGGGCGUAAGGAGACGACUUUAGAGCUGAGACCUGGAUGCAAAUGCUUCGAACAUGGUGGGCUUCUGAAAGGUGCUUGUUGAGUGGAAAAAACUGAGGUCCGGAGAGAAUGUUCAAGUUAUCUACUGUCAAGUGGCCAAGCUGGGAUUCAAAUCCAGGCCAUCGACUUCAGAGCGCCCGCCGUGAAUCAAUUCUAUAGUGGCUCCAAUGUGUAAUUGUUAAGGAGACCAUUCAAAAUUAAAUGUACCCAAUUAUAAAAUGGGCAAAGGAUCUGAAUAGCCACUCCUCCAAGGAAGACAUGCGAAUGGCCAAUAAGCACGUGAAAAGAUGCUCAACAUCAUUAGCCAUCAGAGAACUGCAAAUCAAAACCACUCCAGUUCCACCAGGAUGGCCAUCAAAACAGCCUAACUAGUAACAACAGCAACAGCAAUGGAAAAUGACAAGCCUUGGGGAGGAUCUGGAGAAAUGGGAACCCUCGUACAUUGCUGGUGGGAAUGUCAAAUGGUGCAGCUGCUUCGGAAGACAAACUGGCCGUUCCUCAAAAGAGUUACUAUAUGACCCAGCAAUUCCACUCCUAGGCAUGUACCCAAAAGAAGUGAAACAUGUCCACACAAAAACCUGUACACGAAUGUUCAUAGCAGCAGUACUGUCUAUACUCACAUUACUCUCUGUUCAUAGCCAAAAGUAUCAGUAACCCAAAUGUCCAUCCUUUGAUAAACGGGUAAAGAAGAUGUGGUCUAUCCGUACAAUGGAAUAUUAGUCAGCUGUAAAAAGGAAUGAACUAUGAUGCAUACUAUAGCAUGGAUGGGCCAUGAAAACAUCUUGCUCAGUGAAAGAAGCCAGUGACAAAGGACUGCAUAUCAUUAGAUUCUGUUUAUAUGAAACGUCCAGAACAAGCAAAUCCAUAGAGAUAGAAAGUAAGAUUAGUGGCUACCAGUGGCUGGGGAGUAGAUAUUGGGAGGAAAUGGGGAGUGAGUAUAGGGUGUCUUUUGGCGAUGAUGAAAAUGUUCUAAAAUUGAGUGCAGUGAUGGUUGCUCAAUUCUGAAUAUACAAAAGAAUUCUUCACUUGUUCACUUUAAAUGUGGGAAUUUAUGGUAUGUGAAUUAUAUCUAAAUAAAGUUUUUUUGUAAAAAAAAUUCAAUGUAGAAGU